CCAGCUCCUAGAGGUGUUGCAGUUUUGAUUGCUGUAUCACAUGAGUGCCAUUACGUGGCAGAGGGGAAAGAGGCUAUGUCAAAGCUCAGUACUUUGUGAAUGUCUGACCUGUGAAUGUCUGAAGGUUUACUGACCUAACAUU
ensembl:snoRNA LOC120094929 small nucleolar RNA SNORA17